UACGAAGGGGGCUAGCGUUGCUCGGAAUCACUGGGCGUAAAGCGCACGUAGGCGGAUUGCUAAGUCAGGGGUGAAAUCCUGGAGCUCAACUCCAGAACUGCCUUUGAUACUGGAGAGCUUGAGUCCGGGAGAGGUGAGUGGAACUCCGAGUGUAGAGGUGAAAUUCGUAGAUAUUCGCAAGAACACCAGUGGCGAAGGCGGCUCACUGGCCCGGAACUGACGCUGAGGUGCGAAAGCGUGGGGAGCAAACAGG
rnacentral:rRNA from 1 species